AGCCUUCUAUUACAGCCAUUUGGAUAUUUGGAGCCCUGGCACCGGUCUUGGAAAUUGGAGUCUGAGUACAAGGUACAGUUGUUAUUUUUAUAUAUAUAUAUAUAUAUAUAUAUAUAUAUUUUUUUUUUUUUAAUUGGGGUAGCCCCCAAAAUAUUGGGAGAUAUAAAAAAAGACAACUCUGUUCCGCAGAGUAGCUGUUGACAUUAUAGUUGCGCAGGAACUUUGUUGACUCUAAAGAAUCUCGGGCAAAUCGCACAUGCCCGUGGCGGCGACUUUGCAUGCGGAUGUCAUCCAUAUCAACUUUUGAUGCCAGUUUCUGCGCCUACCAUCGUGACCAUGGGUAACAGGGAAUCAGGGUUCUAUUCCGUACAGGGACCCUGAGAAACGGCUAUCACAUGCAAGGAAGGCAGCAGGUGUUCAAAUGACCCACUCCCGACGCGGGAAGGUAGUGACUCUUUAGAGGCCCUGUAAUUGUAAUGAGUGCACUUGAAAUCCUUUAACUCUCAUCAAUUGGAGGGAAGUCUGUUGCAGAGCCACUGACCUGUGCGUGCUGCAGCUGAAACUCCAUUAUCGCCUGCUGCUGCUCUCAAAGUCU